rnacentral:rRNA from 1 species
UACGUAGGGAGCAAGCGUUAUCCGGAUUUAUUGGGUGUAAAGGGUGCGUAGGCGGUUAGAUAGGUCUAUGGUUUAAGCCCGAGGCUUAACCUCGGUUCGCCAUAGAAACCGUCCAACUUGAGUAUGGUAGAGGCAAGUGGAAUUUCUAGUGUAGCGGUAAAAUGCGUAGAUAUUAGAAGGAACACCAGUGGCGAAGGCGACUUGCUGGGCCAUUACUGACGCUGAGGCACGAAAGCGUGGGGAGCGAAUAGG